GGAUAGCUCGGUCGGUAGAGAGUUAGACUCUUAAUCUUAGGGUUGUGGGUUCAAGAUCCAGGUUCUGCA